rnacentral:rRNA from 1 species
AUACGUAGGGGGCGAGCGUUGUCCGGAAUGAUUGGGCGUAAAGGGCGCGUAGGCGGCCCGGUAAGUCUGGAGUGAAAGUCCUGCUUUUAAGGUGGGAAUUGCUUUGGAUACUGUCGGGCUUGAGUGCAGGAGAGGUAAGUGGAAUUCCCAGUGUAGCGGUGGAAUGCGUAGAGAUUGGGAGGAACACCAGUGGCGAAGGCGACUUACUGGACUGUAACGGACGCUUAGGCGCGAAAGUGGGGGGCGCAAACAGGAGUAGAUACCCAGGUAGUCCACACUGUAAACGAUGAAUGAUAGGUGUAGGGGGUAUCGACCCCUUCUGUGCCGCAGUUAACACAAUAAGCAUUCCGCCUGGGGAGUACGGCCGCAAGGUUGAAAUUCAAAGGACUUGACGGG